rnacentral:rRNA from 1 species
UACGUAGGGACCAAGCGUUGUUCGGAUUUACUGGGCGUAAAGGGCGCGUAGGCGGCGCGGUAAGUCACUUGUGAAAUCUCUGAGCUUAACUCAGAACGGCCAAGUGAUACUGCAGUGCUAGAGUGUGGAAGGGGCAAUCGGAAUUCUUGGUGUAGCGGUGAAAUGCGUAGAUAUCAAGAGGAACACCUGAGGUGAAGACGGGUUGCUGGGCCGACACUGACGCUGAGUGCGCGAAAGCCAGGGGAGCAAACGGG